rnacentral:rRNA from 1 species
UAGGGAAUAUUGCGCAAUGGGCGAAAGCCUGACCCAGCAACGCCGCGUGAAGGAUGAAGUAUUUCGGUAUGUAAACUUCGAAAGAAUAGGAAGAAUAAAUGACGGUACUAUUUAUAAGGUCCGGCUAGCUACGUGCCAGCAGCCGCGGUAAUACGUAGGGACCAAGCGUUGUUCGGAUUUACUGGGCGUAAAGGGCGCGUAGGCGGCUUGACAAGUCACUUGUGAAAUCUCUGGGCUUAACCCAGAACGGCCAAGUGAAACUGUCAUGCUAGAGUGCAGAAGGGGCAAUCGGAAUUCUUGGUGUAGCGGUGAAAUGCGUAGAUAUCAAGAGGAACACCUGAGGUGAAGACGGGUUGCUGGGCUGACACUGACGCUGAGGCGCGAAAGCCAGGGGAGCAAACGGGAUUAGAUACCCCGGUAGUCCCUGAGCGGGCUGGCAAGGCGCAU